AGUGAACGCUGGCGGUAGGCCUAACACAUGCAAGUCGAACGGCAGCACAGUAAGAGCUUGCUCUUACGGGUGGCGAGUGGCGGACGGGUGAGGAAUACAUCGGAAUCUACUUUUUCGUGGGGGAUAACGUAGGGAAACAUACGCUAAUACCGCAUACGACCUACGGGUGAAAGCAGGGGAUCUUCGGACCUUGCGCGAUUGAAUGAGCCGAUGUCGGAUUAGCUAGUUGGCGGGGUAAAGGCCCACCAAGGCGACGAUCCGUAGCCGGUCUGAGAGGAUGAUCAGCCACACUGGAACUGAGACACGGUCCAGACUCCUACGGGAGGCAGCAGUGGGGAAUAUUGGACAAUGGGCGCAAGCCUGAUCCAGCCAUACCGCGUGGGUGAAGAAGGCCUUCGGGUUGUAAAGCCCUUUUGUUGGGAAAGAAAAGCAGCAGGUUAAUACCCCGCUGUUCUGACGGUACCCAAAGAAUAAGCACCGGCUAACUUCGUG
rnacentral:rRNA from 1 species